UUAUGGACGCUCCCUAUGGAAAUUAGAACAAAACUGUAAGCCAACUACUAAUAUUUCUUAUUAACUGGGAGAUCUUCCAAGGUCCAUCAUUAUUUACGGGUGACCACAUUUCAAAAUUGCGGGGGGGGCGUAUUCCAAAAUAACCAUUCAUUUUCACAUCAAGGUCUAGGGUCAUAAACAUCGAUUUUUUUGGGUACCCAUUUUCACGCAUUGUUUUUUAUUGAGGCUUCGAAAAUUAGAAUCAUUUUCAAAUCUAACACUUGGAUUUGCCUAAAAUUUUAAAAUUACUUAGUCCGCGUCAAUACAUACAAGGUUUCUUGAGGCAGUUUGACCGAUGGCAGGAAUUAGUCAAAAUAUUUUAGAUCAAAUUCCAAAAUUUUUACGAUUCAUCACUUCGAUGGAAAUGGAGUGUACUUACUCCGCUCUGUACGAAUCACUAAUUUUUCAGCUUUUACCUCACUUACAUAUUUUGACAAAUUCCAACCAUAGCCCAAACUGAAUGAAAAAAUGUAGGUUAUGCUGGCUUGGACAACAUGCAUGUGUACUUAUGUAGGUACAUACAUAUGUUUGUAAUUAUAACAUCUAACAAGGGACACUCACGACCUGUUGCUUGAGUCAAGGUUACCCACCAUGGUUUUAGAAUCUACCUGUACCACUCAUGUUUCGAGCAUACAAUUAAUUUUGUUGCGAUAAAUUCUCAUUUUUAUGCAUACCAGUCUCACUGGUCUGAAAUUUUGUAAAUAUGGAGAAAGAUACAUGAUGAAAAAAUGGUCGACAAAUUAUAUUGAAAUUCAGAAGCGAACGUUAGUCAUUACAGAUAGAGUGAGACCCAUGCUCACCCUAUGACUAAUUUUGUUACAUACUGUAGCUACCAAUGGAUUCUACUUUACUCGUUCCGCCCUUGGUACCGGAAGUUCCCAGUGGACAUAUGGGUUGCACGCUUACAAUAGGGACUACCCAAGAUUAUUUGAAUACGGACCAAGCCCACACUACUAUCGCAAUUCGUUCUGGAAGUUGGAUGCAGUUCCGGGAACUCAGUUUUACACAAUUUAUCAAACUUCCCCGGCAAAGUCUGGCAACGUUAGAUACACCGGAGUAACCAAUGAUAUCGGAGUCGAUCUAGAUAUUGUAACACCGAACAGUACUGUUCCAGAGCAACAAUGGGGAAUUGUCAGGUGUCCCGUCCACAAAUUAUCUGGUGCAGUUGUAUAAUGUCCACCCCAAAAUGAUUACGCAAAAUGAUUGUUAACUAAUUCCUAACUAUUUUAAACAACUGUCAAAUUUAAAGAAAUUCGAAGUAAUAAAUGACGA